GCUGUCAAUGAUGUUUUACCACUAUAAUUCGAGUUUCAAUGACAAUGAGAAUACUUUACAUGCACUACCAUCUGAGACAUC
ensembl:snoRNA SNORD33 Small nucleolar RNA Z195/SNORD33/SNORD32 family